rnacentral:lncRNA from 1 species
UUUGGGUGACAUUCAGGGACCUUCAGGUGACACCAACCCCCUCUGGCUCCACCACCCAUGGAUGUCCUCAAGUGCCACCGGUGCCACCCCCUGGUGUCACCUGUGCUGGUGUCCCCAAGGUGUCACCUGUCCAUUGUCACCUGUCCAUUGUGUCACCUGUCCAUUGUCACCUGUCCAUUGUCCCCAAGGUGUCACCUGUCCAUUCUCACCUGUCCCGGUGUCACCUGUCCCAGUGUCACCUGUCCCGGUGUCACCUGUCUGGUGUCACCUGUCCAUUGUCCCCAAGGUGUCACCCAUCCCAGUGUCACCUGUCCUGGUGUCCUCAAGGUGUCACCUGUCCCGGUGUCACCUGUCCCAGUGUCACCUGUCCCGGUGUCACCUGUCCAUUGUCACCUGUCCUGGUGUCACCUGUCCAUUCUCACCUGUCCCGGUGUCACCUGUCCCGGUGUCACCUGUCCAUUCUCACCUGUCCCAGUGUCACCUGUCCCGGUGUCACCUGUCCCAGUGUCACCUGUCCCGGUGUCACCUGUCCAUUGUCACCUGUCCCGGUGUCACCUGUCCCGGUGUCACCUGUCCAUUGUCACCUGUCCAUUCUCACCUGUCCCAGUGUCACCUGUCCCGGUGUCACCUGUCCCGGUGUCACCUGUCCCGGUGUCACCUGUCCCUUGUCACCCGUGCGCAGGUGGGGUGUACAAGAAGAUCGGGUACUACGACAGCACCAAGGACAACCUGUCCUGGUACAACAACGACAAAUGGAUCGGUGAGAAACAGCCGGAAAAACAACAGCGGGAAUAAAACAACAGCGGGAAUAAAACAACAGCGGGAAUAAAACAACAGCGGGAAAGUCAGGAAAAAACAACAGCGGGAAAAACAACAGCGGGAAAAACAACAGCGGGAAUAAAACAACAGCGGGAAUAAAACA